CGUUUAGUGGCGAACGGGUGAGUAAUACAUAGGUAACCUACCCUUAAGACGAGGAUAGCCAUUGGAAACGAUGGAUAAAACUGGAUAGGAUAUAGAGGAAGAAUCUUUUAUAUUUAAAAGAGAGAUCUGCUUAAGGAGGGGCCUGUGGCGCAUUAGCUAGUUGGUGGGGUAAGGGCCUACCAAGGCGAUGAUGCGUAGCCGGACUGAGAGGUUGAACGGCCACAAUGGAACUGAGAACGGUCCAUACUCCUACGGGAGGCAGCAG
rnacentral:rRNA from 1 species